rnacentral:rRNA from 1 species
AAAAAAGGUAAGCUACUAAGAGCGAAUGGUGGAUGCCUUGACUGGUAAAGGCGAUGAAGGACGUACUAGACUGCGAUAAGCUACGGGGAGCUGUCAAGAAGCUUUGAUCCGUAGAUUUCCGAAUGGGGCAACCCAAUGUAUAGAGAUAUACAUUACCUAUAUAGGAGCGAACGAGGGGAAUUGAAACAUCUUAGUACCCUCAGGAAAAGAAAUCAAUAGAGAUUGCGUCAGUAGCGGCGAGCGAAAGCGCAAGAGGGCAAACCCAGUGCUUGCACUGGGGGUUGUAGGACUGCAAUGUGCAAGAGGUAAGUUUAGCAGAACAUUCUGGAAAGUAUAACCAUAGAGGGUGAUAGUCCCGUAUGCGAAAAACAAACCUUAGCUAGCAGUAUCCUGAGUAGGGCGGGACACGAGAAAUCCUGUCUGAAGCUGGGUCGACCACGAUCCAACCCUAAAUACUAAUACCAGAUCGAUAGUGCACAAGUACCGUGAGGGAAAGGUGAAAAGAACUGAGGUGAUCAGAGUGAAAUAGAACCUGAAACCAUUUGCUUACAAUCAUUCAGAGCCCUAUGUAGCAAUACAGGGUGAUGGACUGCCUUUUGCAUAAUGAGCCUGCGAGUUGUGGUGUCUGGCAAGGUUAAGCAAACGCGAAGCCGUAGCGAAAGCGAGUCUGAAUAGGGCGCUUAGUCAGAUGCUGCAGACCCGAAACGAAGUGAUCUAUCCAUGAGCAAGUUGAAGCUAGUGUAAGAACUAGUGGAGGACUGAACCCAUAGGCGUUGAAAAGCCCCGGGAUGACUUGUGGAUAGGGGUGAAAGGCCAAUCAAACUUCGUGAUAGCUGGUUCUCUCCGAAAUAUAUUUAGGUAUAGCGUUGUGUCGUAAUAUAAGGGGGUAGAGCACUGAAUGGGCUAGGGCAUACACCAAUGUACCAAACCCUAUCAAACUCCGAAUACCUUAUAUGUAAUCACAGCAGUCAGGCGGCGAGUGAUAAAAUCCGUCGUCAAGAGGGAAACAACCCAGACUACCAGCUAAGGUCCCUAAAUCUUACUUAAGUGGAAAACGAUGUGAAGUUACUUAAACAACCAGGAGGUUGGCUUAGAAGCAGCCAUCCUUUAAAGAAAGCGUAAUAGCUCACUGGUCUAGUGAUUUUGCGCGGAAAAUAUAACGGGGCUAAAGUAAGUACCGAAGCUGUAGACUUGCGCACAACUUAGAUUAUUUAAGUUUAGAAUAUGAGAAACUAAGUUAUAUGUUUAGUUAUAUUUUUACUGAUUUUUAUAGAGUAAAGAUAGAAAUAAAACUUAGUAAAAUCAGUAAAAAUAUUCUUAGACUAAAGUUAAGUAGUUUAAGUUGUGUGCAAGUGGUAGGAGAGCGUUCUAUUUGCGUCGAAGGUAUACCGGUAAGGAGUGCUGGAGCGAAUAGAAGUGAGCAUGCAGGCAUGAGUAGCGAUAAUUAAUGUGAGAAUCAUUAACGCCGUAAACCCAAGGUUUCCUACGCGAUGCUCGUCAUCGUAGGGUUAGUCGGGUCCUAAGUCGAGUCCGAAAGGGGUAGACGAUGGCAAAUUGGUUAAUAUUCCAAUACCAACAUUAGUGUGCGAUGGAAGGACGCUUAGGGCUAAGGGGGCUAGCGGAUGGAAGUGCUAGUCUAAGGUCGUAGGAGGUUAUACAGGCAAAUCCGUAUAACAAUACUCCGAGAACUGAAAGGCUUUUUGAAGUCUUCGGAUG